rnacentral:rRNA from 1 species
GUAGGGAAUAUUGGACAAUGGGCGAAAGCCUGAUCCAGCCAUGCCGCGUGAUAGAUGAAGGCCCUCUGGGUUGUAAAUAUCUUUUAUCUGGGAAGAAACUCCUCUAUUCUUAGAGGCCUGACGGUACCAGAGGAAUAAGCACCGGCUAACUCCGUGCCAGCAGCCGCGGUAAUACGGAGGGUGCAAGCGUUAUCCGGAUUCACUGGGUUUAAAGGGUGCGUAGGCGGGUUGAUAAGUCAGUGGUGAAAGCUCCGGGCUUAACUUGGAAACUGCCAUUGAUCCUGUCAGUCUUGAAUGUCGUAGAGGUAAGCGGAAUGUUGCAUGUAGCGGUGAAAUGCUUAGAUAUGUUACAGAACACCAAUUGCGAAGGCAGCUUACUAUGCGAUAAUUGACGCUGAGGCACGAAAGCGUGGGGAGCAAACAGGAUUAGAAACCCCAGUAGUCC